GCCACUCGCGCCAUGCGACCCGCCCGCCGUUGUUUCGUACAACGGAUCUAGGGUUAUUUUCGAACGGGAGCGGAUUCCACGGUGGUGAAGAACCCGGACGAAACUAAAUAAUAAAAUAUUUGACGUUAUUUACGUUUAAUUAUAUCUAUCGUUUUUUUUUUUUUUUUUUUUUUUUUUUUUUUUUUUUUCACGAAAACAAUGGCAAGAUAAAUGGAAUAGAGCACUGCCUUUUUUUUUUUUAAAUUAAAGAAAGAUCGAUACAAAUUAUAGACAAGAAAAAAU